GGAAUAUUAGCAUGGCCCCUGCGCAAGGAUGACACGCAAGGAUCGUAACUGUGGAUCAGUUUCU
rnacentral:snRNA from 1 species